AACGAACGCUGGCGGCAUGCCUAACACAUGCAAGUCGAACGAGACCUUCGGGUCUAGUGGCGCACGGGUGCGUAACGCGUGGGAACCUGCCCUUAGGUUCGGAAUAACUCCCCGAAAGGGGUGCUAAUACCGGAUAAUGUCUUCGGACCAAAGAUUUAUCGCCUUUGGAUGGGCCCGCGUUGGAUUAGCUAGUUGGUAGGGUAAAAGCCUACCAAGGCGACGAUCCAUAGCUGGUCUGAGAGGAUGAUCAGCCACACUGGGACUGAGACACGGCCCAGACUCUUACGGGAGGCAGCAGUGGGGAAUAUUGGCAAACGGGCGAAAGCAUGAUCCAGCAAUGCCGCGUGAGUGAUGAAGGACUUAGGGUUGUAAAGCUCUUUUACACGGGAUGAUAAUGACAGUACCGGGAGAAUAAGCUCCGGCUAACUACGUG
rnacentral:rRNA from 1 species